UUACGCUGUUAUCCUAAGGUAAUUUUUUCUUUUAAUCAAUAAAAUUGGAUCAUUUAAUCACUUAUCUAUGGCUAUUAUUAAAAAAAGUUUAUUUUAUUUUUUUAUCACCCCAACAAAAUAUUAAAUAAAAUUUAUAAAUAAAUAAAUUUAUAAAUAAUUUAAAUUUAAUUUAAUAUUAAACUAUAGGGUCUUCUCGUCUUUUUAAUCUAUUUUAACUUUUUAAUUAAAAAUUAAAUUCAAUUAAUUAUCUUUGAGACAGUUUAUAUUUCAUCCAAUCUUUCAUACAAGUCACUAAUUAAGAGAGUAAUGAUUAUGCUACCUUUGUACAGUCAAAAUACUGCAGCCCUUCAAUAUUUUAUCAGUGGGCAGAUUAGACUUUAAAUUAUUCUCAAAAAGACAUGUUUUUGUUAAACAGGUG
rnacentral:rRNA from 2 species